CAGCAGCCACGGUAAUACGUAGGUGGCAAGCGUUGUCCGGAAUUAUUGGGUGUAAAGGGCUCGCAGGCGGUCUCUUAAGUCUGAUGUGAAAGCCCCCGGCUCAACCGGGGAGGGUCAUUGGAAACUGGGAAACUUGAGUGCAGAAGAGGAGAGUGGAAUUCCACGUGUAGCGGUGAAAUGCGUAGAGAUGUGGAGGAACACCAGUGGCGAAGGCGACUCUCUGGUCUGUAACUGACGCUGAGGAGCGAAAGCGUGGGGAGCGAACAGGAUUAGAUACCCCGUAGUCCCUGUCUCUUAUACA
rnacentral:rRNA from 1 species